rnacentral:snoRNA from 1 species
GGCACUUACGUAUGUUUUUGACUUUCCUUUUGUGGACUAAAACUUAAACGAACAGGUGCAAAAAAUGAAUCCUCUUUUGCAACCUAGAGCUCAUUGUUUGGUAUGAGUUUUGAUGCAUAAAAGAAGGGAUUUU